AUUGUCACAUAUAUCCAAGUCCAGAACGCGGAAAAAGAGGUAAUAAAUUCGUCGACGUCUGAUGUCGCCACUCUCCUUCUCGAGUAGCAGCAACCUCGAAUCCUUUUGACUAGAUGUCGUAGAUGAGCUUUUGGAACUUUUGCAUGUGGUCCGGCUGCAAGGAGAUGGCGACGGAGAGGCUGCCGUCCCCGGUGGGGCUCGGCAGCACGAAGGCCAGCCCCUCGUAGGCGAUGCCGCCGGGCCCCAUGAACACCGGCCGCCCCCACCCGAAGUCGGCGUCAUGGAUGGGCAGCCGUACCCAGCUGGUGAGCCCGAUGUUGGGACACCGGAACGUGUGGGCGCCCCGCACCAGCGCCCCCAGGUCCGGCUGCAUCUCCAGGUAGUCCAGCGCCGACCACAGGUACUCGUUGUCCAUCCUCGCCAGCGAUUCCUGGAUCCUCCCCGCUGCCAGGGCCGGCCCCCCGCCCGCCGCCGCCGCCGCCACCUCACCCGCCAACGCCACCGGCG
rnacentral:lncRNA from 1 species